GCAUGUUUAUCAAGACUCGACGCAGCUCGUGGGUUUUGAAUUAAAUGAAACGAAAAAAGCUUUUUUUUGAAAAUAACACUAAUAUUUCGAUCAACAGUGCACGAGAGGUUGCUGGGACAGAUCAACAGCACACAUGACAGAUCUCGUAUUGGACCGUACCACUCCAUUCACGUGAUAUGAUCCUAAAUAAACUAAAGUAAAGUUGAAAAGAGAGAGCAAGGGAGACACCGGUCGGAUUCAUCGCUGAAAUGUUGAUCGAUCUGGAAUAAUGCUGGGUCAUUUUAACGCCAGCGUGAAAACCUCUGGUACUGCAGUAGUGGAGACCGCCUGUUCAGCAGUGUCUACCCGUUAAAUAUUGUUCUAUCUGCUGCAGAUCUUUCAAACAAAGCAGUUCAGGCUAUCUCCUCAAGCAGCAGAUUUGGAAUUCAGCACUUUUCCCAACAAAAACCUCAAAAACUAUGUGUGGAUUGGACUGCAGGACUACCUAAGACCAGCUCAAAAAUAACUGAAGAAACCUCUACUGCUGACAAAGCUGGCUUGUAACAGUGGAAGGCCUCCCAUGUUGACUACAUCAUCCAUCACAAACUCUUCCUAGUAUCCAAUUUAUCUGUGUUAGUUCAUUAAUAUUAACAAUAGCUUGACACUUCAUUGAUGGAGAUACAUUGUUGAACUAAUUCAUUUGCAGAGGUUAAUCCUAAACUGAAAUUCAUGCUUUAUGAAGAAUUUGAG